rnacentral:lncRNA from 1 species
AGUGUGAGGGAGGUGGGCAGGGCGCGCGUUUUCCUGGUGCGCGGCGAGAGUGCGUCUCCUUCGGAGCUGCUGCUUGGGCGGCGCUCGGCCGGCGGGGUCCGGCAGGAGGGGCUUGGCUAAGGCGCGGUUGGUGGAGGGACCUCUCGGCGCCUCCUCGAUGCGAGGCGAGCCGCUCCGGGAUCCCGCGAGCUGGCUGCUUCUUCCAGCCUCUUUCUCUCCCGGGUGCCUGGAUGCGCUGGGAGCUGCUCUCGCUCUUUUGGGGCUAGCCCGGAGAGAGACAGAGAUCGCGCGCCUCGCCGGGCACAAAUGCGGGGGAUCGUGCGCAUUUCUCGGCUGGCUGCUGCAGGUCGGCGGAGUGUCUGCAAAGGGUGGCGUGCGGGUUAUUAUGGCCCCCACGACCUGGACUCAUCUUCCCCGUUGGACAAGGAAGGACCCCGCUGCGUUGGAUUUAUGCCUCUAGGAUGUUCAAGCAUCGCCCUUCCGAGAAGAGGGCAUCUGCUGGAGAGGAGGGAAGAUGCUAGCAAGAACACCUGGGGAGAGUCUGGCCCCUUGGUCUCCCUCGGGCCUGGAUUAUUGUGGUACCUCUGCCUCGCAACGAUGGUUUUUGCGCACCCCGGUUAGGCUUGGACACCUUUGCCUGACGCAAAAUCCGGUGCGCUUUGGAGCUGAUCGGCUUGGUGUCCUCUCCGUCCCCGCAUUCAUAUUUGGAAUAUAAUUCUUGCUGCGCUUUUCGCAGCAGCCUCUCUCCACAUGGGGGAUGCCCUCCAGGUAAGUUUCCUGCUUGCCCUCGAUUGCUUUGGAUUCUCUGGGAAGCGGGGGCGUGAGGAUGAGGGGCAGCUGGUGCUCUUCGUCUUGGCAUCUCGGCUCCAACGUGGAUGAUGGAGCGCUUUCUGUUGUUACUGGUUUUUAAACAGUUCUGCCAGUGAUUGUUUUACACGAACCACCAAUGUGUAUGGAUGUACGUGAUGCUCUUAAGGAAUAAUAAGCGGGCGAAUCCCCAGCACUGUGAUGAGGGUGAGCGUAAAAAUCAUUCGCCUUUCUCUCCAUAUCGCGUUCCAGGAAGUUUCGCUUUAUUAUCACUUUGCAUUCAGGGCCCGUUACUUGAAGGCUUGUAUUAGCGAGGGAACAGCGCCUACCCACCGCAGGGAAGCUCCAGGCAGCCCGCAAUCCGGUGAGAUGGAGCCGCGAAUGGAUACAGACGAGCCUUGCGCGCGGCGCCCUGACUGGUGCUAUUCUGGGGUGUUUUGCUUGGGGGUGUCGAGAAAAAGCGGCGAGGCGAGCGAGUCAUGUAGGAAAUGGCAUCUGGGGAGAGGAAGUGCAUUAUGUGCCUGGCGGUGGGUGUGAGGAUGAAACGCACCUGUCUUUGGGGAAAGCCCUGUGCAAUGUUUGUGGCUUAUCCGUGCACAUAAUUCAAAAGUGUUCAUCUAAUAUUUUUUUUGGGGGGGGGUGUGAAGAACCUUGCAUAAUAUUUCCUUCUUUCCUUCUUCCUUACUUUUCAAAAAUAAGAUCUAAUGAAAAGCAUGCAUGUGUUGGAGUUGUUGGAACGGUCAUGUCCUGUUAUGCAGGCGAGCGAGCCCAGUGGCUUGAUCACAAAGCCUUGCAGUUCUUCCGUAGAUGCACACAUGCAAUGCUUUGUCUGUUUGUUUCCCCAACACAAAUUUUGGUUGUGCCUCCUUUCCCAACAUGGGUUUUCCCCCCCAGUCUCCUGUGCCUCCUUAUUUUGUCCCUGGGGACACAGGUGCUGUUAACCUUGCUCUGUAACUUAAUACUGAGUCCUUCAUCUGUGUAAAUGGGCUCUAAUGGUUUGCUUUAGGCUUCUGUCUUCUAUAUAAUCAGCUUUUGUUUUCAUUAGGGUAGCCAAUAUGCUCCUUCUUUUUCUUCCUUCCUGGGUGCCUCUCUGAUCUCAGGAGUUUCUUCCCACUAGGACAUAUUUCAUGCACCCUCUAGCCAGGGUGUGCAAAGCUAGAAUUCCCUCCUCAGCCUUCCUCUAUGUUUCAGUGACUCACCUGCCCAAGAGGCAGAGGCAGUUUAUCUUGUUCGCUGACAGCACUACUAGCUCCAUGGUGAGGUUUGCCGACCCCUGCGCUUGUACUGGGAUGCUACACACUGCCUCACCACCGCAGCCUUUUUAUAGAGCUCUUGUGGGAACUGGUGCAAUCUUGUCGCCCAUGAAUCUUAUUUAUGGCAAGAAUGCCUUAAACCACAUUUCUUAGCUUGACAAGGAUCUUGGAUCGAAUGUCUCUUUUGCAUUGCUUCCCUUCCUUUCACCAUCACUUGCGCCUGUUCUUGCUUCUGGGAGCACAUUAGUGAAACUUGAUUUGAAUGAUCUUAUAGGAGCCAUUUGCUCCCAAGGCAGCGCCAAAUGUCCGUUAGAUAUGCAUAAACAUGUUUUAGUCUCUUGCAAUGGCGUGAAUGCAUUUCCAUCCUCUCAGAUUUUUUUACAUUUGUCGUCUCCCAAGACAGAGCAUUUAUGUUUUCAGUGGUGGUGGUGAAGUCAGUAGAGGUGACUGGCAGGAAGGUCAUAGGAGGUUAGAUACAAGGAAGAAUAUCCAAAUCAUUCAAGAUAGAUAGAUUAGUGCAUGGUUUUCUUUGUAUGGCAGACAGCUCAUCCAACUCUCAAAGCUCACAUGUCUGAGAUUUCAGCCUCUGCAGGAAUGCAUUCAUUUGGGAAGUGUGUAGACUACCUUGAAGGAAAGGUGGUGUAGAAAUGUAAAAAAUAAAAGGGUCUGUGUUGUCGGUGUAAUCUUUUAGGCAGUUCCAGCAUGAUAGUUUCCUUUCCAUCACUGUACUAAUUUUGGGGGGGAUUGGAACAUCAUUUCUUGUAUUUCAACUGCAACCUUAUAGUGAAAAUGAAUGAGGCUCAUGUUCCUACACAAAUACUUGAGCAAUGGAAAUCAGCGUUAAGGAAAUUGUAGAAUCCUCUCUGUGUGUUUCAUCAGGAGGGAGAUAAAACUUCUGGCAGAGCGAUGAUUGUCUUUGCCUGGGCAUAGGGAUUUGGGCAAGCUAACAUCAAUUUUUUUUUAAAAAAAAUGGGAUCCAGUGGUGACACUGGAACUUGCACAUUGUUGCAGUUUGUGUGAUGUGACCACAACCAUUAGCUUGUUGUGUUAAACACAACAACAAAAUUCUAUGUUUGAGCAGAAGCAUACAGCAGAAGCAGAAGGUCUAACUCUGAAUAUACAUUCAUUCAGAUGCAUAUUCUAAUAAAUAUGCAUUCAUUCAGAUGUAUAUUGCAGUAAAGGUUUAUCAUCCACACAUAGUUCUGUAGCAGCAAUAUCACACACACACACACGGGUUUAUAGAUGCAAUCUUUCUCAUGGGAAUUCGAGUGGUGCUAUCAGUUUUAUUUCCUUCUUGUCUGUGAAUUGCAUUCAUUCUGACAUUGUAGAAGCCUUUCUGCAUGUGUGUGCAUGCUCAUAACCUCACGUCAACUCUCGGUGAAAUAUAUUAUCUCCUUUCUUAUUUUGCUUCUGUAAAUAAAGGCUACACCCCUCUGGUCCUGUGUUGGACAAUUACAAAGGGAUCGGGGCAAAUCCUUUUCUAAAACAGCUAGCAUAAAAUAUGUUCUGGAAAUGACGCAUGAGAUAACUCCGCAAUAAGCAAGAAGCGAAUCUUCUGGACUUUAGCCUGGCUGCUGUGCUUAAUCUCUCCCCUUUUCAAAUGGGUGUAUCAUACAAACUAUGGUGUUAUGCUUUAGCAACCAUCACUUGGGUUCAGCAACAUUUCUGGACAGUAAUAUCUUGCUAUCCCACCAGCCUGGGGUAGUUUUAAGAAAGGUAAUCAACAGCCCUGUAAGCACUUGGGAGAAUAUACCCCAAAGCAGCGCUGUUUUUCUAGAAAAGGAGGUGCUGGUACUCACAAUGAACACCUUCCUUGUUCUCUUAUAAGGGCAAUGACUCCCACCUGAGAGGUGCCGGAAGUGAGUUCAGGUGAGUUCUGGCUGAAAAAAAGCCCUGCCCCCCCCAAUGAAUAUUCAGGUAACUUGAGAAAAUAAAGAAAGCCAAAAACAAACAAACAAACAAACAAACCCCAAAAUACUUUCUCUCCAUUUAUUUUAGUUGCUAUUGCUCAUUUUCUUCCCUAAAGUAGCCCUCACAAUAAGCUUUGUUCAAGUUCCAUUCAUCUCCUCGCCACCCCAAUUCAGCCUACAAAUGUGUGUGACUAAAAGGACACCCUUCCAUAACUGCCCCAUGUCUCACAUCUUUGACAAACUGCCUGUUAGCCUACAAAUAGCCUAUGCUGCGCCAGCAAGUUGAAGGUGUAGUGCCGAGAGGUGAGUGAGGCAAACCAUCCACACCUCUGAUGUAAUAUGCAGUGCUGUUGGUCAUAGAAUCGUAGAGUUGGUAAGGAAUGUUGGAAAUGUAAAGAAAAGGAAGGGAACUUUUAUCGUAUGUGGUGGAAGUGCAGUAAGGUAAAAGCUUACUGGGACAUGAUAUAUACAAUGGUACCUCGGGUUACAUACACUUCAGGUUACAGACUCCGCUAACCCAGAAAUAGUACCUCGGGUUAAGAACUUUGCUUUAGGAUGAGAAUAGAAAUUGUGCUCCGGCGGCGCGGCGGCAGCAGGAGGCCCCAUUAGCUAAAGUGGUGCUCCAGGUUAAGAACAGUUUCAGGUUAAGAACGGACCUCCGGAACGAAUUAAGUACUUAACCCGAGGUACCACUGUAAUGCGUUAAAGAUAAUAUACAAAAGUACAUUUGUUAAAAAACCAGAAGCAUUUUUAUUGGGGAUAAUAGGUGAGGAAAUCCUGAAGAAAGACCAAAGGCUGUUCAGGUAUGCAACAACGGCAGCAAGGACUUUACUAGCUCAAAAAUGGAAGCAACAGGAGUUACCAGCGAUUCAAGAGUGGCAAAUGAAGAAGAUUGAAUAUGCAGAGCUGGCAAAGUUGACUGGGAAAAUCCAAAAUCAGCGGGUUCAAAUGUUCCAAAAAGACUGGAGUAAAUUUAUAUGACAUUUGAAGGAUAAUUGUAAACAUUUAACAACACUAGCAGGACUGACUUAAGAAACUUGUAAUGUUGAGGUUAUGUACUUUUUGACAUAUUUAUUUAAAAUUUGAUAAUUGAGAUGGAUAUAAUGUAAACAGG